AUUGAACGCUGGCGGCAUGCCUUACACAUGCAAGUCGAACGGCAGCACGGGAGCAAUCCUGGUGGCGAGUGGCGAACGGGUGAGUAAUAUAUCGGAACGUGCCCAGUCGUGGGGAUAACGUAGCGAAAGCUACGCUAAUACCGCAUACGAUCUAUGGAUGAAAGCGGGGGAUCGCAAGACCUCGCGCGAUUGGAGCGGCCGAUAUCAGAUUAGGUAGUUGGUGAGGUAAAGGCUCACCAAGCCGACGAUCUGUAGCUGGUCUGAGAGGACGACCAGCCACACUGGGACUGAGACACGGCCCAGACUCCUACGGGAGGCAGCAGUGGGGAAUUUUGGACAAUGGGCGCAAGCCUGAUCCAGCAAUGCCGCGUGCAGGAUGAAGGCCUUCGGUUGUAACUGCUUUGUACGGAACGAAACGGUGAGCUCUAAUACAGUUUGCUAAUGACGGUACCGUAAGAAUAAG
rnacentral:rRNA from 1 species